rnacentral:rRNA from 1 species
GACGAACGCUGGCGGCGUGCUUAACACAUGCAAGUCGAACGAAGUGGCGAACGGGUGAGUAAUACGUGGGUAACCUGCCCUCCUGUUUGGGAUAAGCCUUGGAAACGGGGUCUAAUACCGAAAAAAGGGGGAUGGGCUCGCGGCCUAUCAGCUUGUUGGUGGGGUGAUGGCCUACCAUGGCGGUCACGGGUAGCCGGCCGGAGAGGCUGACCGGCAACAUUGGGACGGGGAUACGGCCCAGAGUCGUACGGGAGGCAGAAGUUGGGGAUAUUGCACAAGGGGCGAAAGCCUGAGGCGGCGGCGCCGAGUGGGGGAUGAAGGCUUUCGGGUUGUAAACCUGUGUCGCUAUCGAACCGGUAGGUGGAGAAGAAGCGCCGGCUAACUACGUGCCAGCAGCCGCGGUAAUAC